UCACUCCUACGGGAGGCAGCAGUGGGAAUAUUGCACAAUGGGGGAAACCUGAUGCAGCCAUGCCGCGUGNGUGAAGAGGCCUUCGGGUUGUAAAGCACUUUCAGUAGGGAGGAAGGUAGUGUAGUUAAUAGCUGCAUUAUUUGACGUUAGCGACAGAAGAAGCACCGGCUAACUCCGUGCCAGCAGCCGCGGUAAUACGGAGGGUGCGAGCGUUAAUCGGAAUUACUGGGCGUAAAGCGCAUGCAGGCGGCCUGUUAAGUCAGAUGUGAAAGCCCGGGGCUUAACCUCGGAAUUGCAUUUGAAACUGGCAGGCUAGAGUCUUGUAGAGGGGGGUAGAAUUUCAGGUGUAGCGGUGAAAUGCGUAGAGAUCUGAAGGAAUACCAGUGGCGAAGGCGGCCCCUGGACAAAGACUGACGCUCAGAUGCGAAAGCGUGGGGAGCAAACAGGAUUAGAUACCCUGGUAG
rnacentral:rRNA from 1 species